UACGGAAGGCAGCAGUGGGGAAUAUUGGACAAUGGGCGCAAGCCUGAUCCAGCCAUGCCGCGUGUGUGAAGAAGGCCUUUUUGGUUGUAAAGCACUUUAAGCGAGGAGGAGGCUCUCUUAGUUAAUACCUAAGAUGAGUGGACGUUACUCGCAGAAUAAGCACCGGCUAACUCUGUGCCAGCAGCCGCGGUAAUACAGAGGGUGCGAGCGUUAAUCGGAUUUACUGGGCGUAAAGCGUGCGUAGGCGGCUUUUUUAAGUCGGAUGUGAAAUCCCCGAGCUUAACUUGGGAAUUGCAUUCGAUACUGGGAAGCUAGAGUAUGGGAGAGGAUGGUAGAAUUCCAGGUGUAGCGGUGAAAUGCGUAGAGAUCUGGAGGAAUACCGAUGGGCGAAGGCAGCCAUCUGGCCUAAUCUGACGCUGAGGUACGAAAGCAUGGGGAGGCAAACAGGGAUUAGAUACC
rnacentral:rRNA from 1 species